UACAGAUCCACUCUGGACUACACCAUACAACGUCUGGGGAUUCUCAUUGACCUCCAGAAGAAAGAGGCAGUGCAUGCCUGGCUGCAAGCAGGGAAGAUCUACUACAUCCUGCGGCAGAGCGAGCUGGUGGACCUGUACAUCCAGGUGGCACAGAAUGUGGUCCUGUACACAGGCGACUCCAACCUGGGCUGGAGCUGUUUGAGGCAGCUGGAGACAUCAUCUUCAAUGGGGCCUGGGAGCGGGAGAAAUCCGUGUCCUUCUACCAGAUGAGGAAGCUGAGGCUCAGAGAGGCACAGAGACAUGUCAAAGGACACACAGCAUGUCAGUAGGAGACCCAGGUCCCAGAUCUGCAUGCACCCCGAAACGGGGCCGGCUUCUCCCUUCCUCAGAGCUCACGGACCGGGUCCUGCCCCUAGCAGUGACUACGGGCAACUCCAAGGGGAGCCGCAGCUGUGCAACAAGCCGGUGGCACUGCUGGCCAUGCUGGAGGAGCCCCAGGAGGGCUUGGAAUUUGCCCACAUGGCCCUAGCUGUCAGCAUCACUCUGGGGGACCAGCUGAAAGAGCGCGUGGCCUACUAACGACUGGCCGCCCUGCACCACCAGCUGGGCCAUGGGAAGCUGGCAGAGUACUUCUACCUCACGGCCCUGUAGCUCUGCAACUCGCCGCUGGAGUUUGACGAGGAGACCCUCUACUACAUGAAGGUGUACCUGGUGCUCGGUGACAUCAUCGUCUACGACCUGAAGGUUGGUGGGGAGGGACAGGGCUGAAGGUGGGUGGGGAGGGGCAGGGCUCUGGGAGUUCCUGGCCCCCUUGGAGUGGAAUCUCCACCCAGACCCCAGGGGUCUGGGUUCCCGCCUUCCUUAGGAAUGGGCCAGUGGCUUCCCUGGAGCUCUGCACCCAGCUAGAGGAGCCGGCAAGGUUAGCAGAUACAACCCAGCUCCCAAGCUGGCCAGGCCCCACCCUCAAGAACUCAGUCUCAACCAGGGAGGCUGACACACGAGUGGGCAAUGGUGGUUUCUGGGUAAAGAAGGGGGAUUGUAGUCAGGGGGACCCUCCUGGAGGAGGUGACACCAAACUGAGUCUUGACAGUCAAGUGUCAAGUUACAUUUAACAAAGAAAACAGGGUCGGGAGAAGGACAUUUUGGAGGACGGCAUCAUCCUCACAUUGAAUCCACGAUGCAAGAUCCAACCCAAAUCCCGGUGCCUCCUCUAGGAAGCCUGCCCAGGGUGCCAGCCUGCACAGAGCAACUCCUUCCUGGAGUCCCGAGACACCUGGAAUCUUCACAUCACCCAGGAAGGGUGGGGUGGGGCCGGUCUCUUACCAUCGGGUUCACAGACAGGGGAACCCCAGCUCACGGCAGGUGCAGUGGGGUGGGGCCCCAGCCAGCCAGGCUGAGACCUUGCUGGGUCAGAUCUGUCUCGAGGGGAGGUUCUGUGCUCCGUCUGCCCCCAGCCCUGCAGGGGUGGAGAGCUGGGACUAACAGACUCAGACCUGGGGUGUCUCCACCCUCUGCCCAGCAGGCACCCGCCCCUCCUCCGCAUUGCACCGGCACCGUGUCAGUAAUCCUUAUGGGCUGAGGGGCCAGGGCGCUUUAGUCCAGGGACCAAGAUCUUGGGGGCCUUAGAACAACAUGAGGAACUGGUGCAGCCCUAACACCCCGCCCUGUAUCCCUCACCACAGGCCUGGGGCUGCCCGGGAGGCCCCCGACCAGUGCUGGCGACACCUGGUGGUCAAAAGCGGUCCCUGUGGCCUCCCGGGUCCCAGCCAGACAGGGGGGUGCCAGGUGUCAGGCCCAGAGGGACGCUGCUCACCGCUCAGGGUGUCGCCUGGGACCAAGGGACGGGCCUCCCAGAAGUGGCCCUUUAUCUCUCUUGGUCAAGCCUGCCGCCCACCCCACCUGCCCAAGAGGAAGGAAACGGCCAAGUAGUACCUGAGAGCCCAUGGUUGGGGGCGAGGGGCAGAGGCCUCCUUCACCUCCUUCUCGAGCACAGCCCUCCGGGACUCCUCGUGAAGGUGCUGUCAGCCCAGGCCAGCUUCCCACAGGGAGGCCCCCUCGGAAUUCCCCAAGGGCGGCUGUCUUUCCAAGGCCACACCCUCCUCCUUGUAUAGGAGGCUCUGGACCCGGGGCCCAGAGGAGUGGGAGAGAAAGCUGGGCUGGAUGGGGCCUGGAAGGCUGGCGGAGAGGCAGGGUAAAUGGGCAUCCUUGUCGAUUGCCUCUAAAAUGGGGUCCCCUUUAGUCUACACAUGAGUGAGCCCUGGAAUAGGGUGGAUUAGGUGUGUCCUGGCUCAGCCUGCCACUCACUAGCUGCUGCACACACUACAGGCACAUGGAAAUGCACACGCAAAUGCACACAGACACAGGCACACGCACAGACACGCACAGUCAGGCACACAAACACGCACAGGCACACGCAGAGUCAUAUGCUUUUGCUGGCUGCUUCCUGUGUAGUUAGGCAGCCCCACCCCUUCAGGAAGCCCUUGCCUCCCACCCCCGGCGGAGUCAGGGGCCUCCUGGGCUUCCCUCUGCCACAGCCUGGGCCGCCUUUGUGGUCAGUGUUCAGUCCCAGGUCCCUCAGACUGGGAGCCGAGGAUGUUAGGCUCAGCCAUGCACCCAGCACAGAGUCCAGUGUUCGGCUGGGCCGGGGGGCAUUGGAUGAGCAGUUGCGGUGACUCAGGGCCUUUUCACGCCCCUGCUCCGUGUGUGGGGUGGGGCAGUGAGGGAAUGGACUGCUGCAUCUUGGACUUUGUCCUUGGCCCUGGGAGCCGUCUUGAAGAGGGACAGGCCAGGCCUGGGUCUUAGCGACAUCCCUUGGGUGUCCCCCAUGUGGAGGAGGCGCCUGGGGGGGAGAUGGGAGGGUGAAGGUGGAGGUCUGGGAGGCAGCAUCCCAACCCAGGAAUGGUGAGUUUGAGCCAAACAUGCAUUGAAAAUGGGAGUGGAUGUCUGGGGAGUCACACUCUGUCAAUAGUUCAGGGAACAUUGCAAGGGAGGACACCUGUGAGAUGGUUUUGUACCUGGCCUGGCC